AUUGAACGCUGGCGGCAGGCUUAACACAUGCAAGCCGAGCGGAGAGAGGUAGCUUGCUACUGAUCUUAGCGGCGGACGGGUGAGUAAUGCUUAGGAAUCUGCCUAUUAGUGGGGGACAACAUUUCGAAAGGAAUGCUAAUACCGCAUACGUCCUACGGGAGAAAGCAGGGGAUCUUCGGACCUUGCGCUAAUAGAUGAGCCUAAGUCGGAUUAGCUAGUUGGUGGGGUAAAGGCCUACCAAGGCGACGAUCUGUAGCGGGUCUGAGAGGAUGAUCCGCCACACUGGGACUGAGACACGGCCCAGACUCCUACGGGAGGCAGCAGUGGGGAAUAUUGGACAAUGGGCGGAAGCCUGAUCCAGCCAUGCCGCGUGUGUGAAGAAGGCCUUAUGGUUGUAAUGCACUUUAAGCGAGGAGGAGGCUACUUUAGUUAAUACCUAGAGAUAGUGGACGUUACUCGCAGAAUAAGCACCGGCUAACUCUGUGCCAGCCGCCGCGGUAA
rnacentral:rRNA from 1 species